UGGGGAAUCUUGCACAAUGGGCGCAAGCCUGAUCCAGCCAUGCCGCGUGAGUGAUGAAGGCCUUAGGGUUGUAAAGCUCUUUUGGCGGGGACGAUAAUGACGGUACCCGCAGAAUAAGUCCCGGCUAACUUCGUGCCAGCAGCCGCGGUAAUACGAAGGGGACUAGCGUUAUUCGGAAUUAUUGGGCGUAAAGAGCGCGUAGGCGGUUUGAUAAGUCUGAUGUGAAAACCCUGGGCUCAAUCCAGGAAGUGCAUUGGAUACUGUCAGGCUAGAGUACAGGAGAGGUGGGCGGAAUUCCUGGUGUAGAGGUGAAAUUCGUAGAUAUCAGGAGGAACAACAGUGGCGAAGGCGGCUCACUAGACUGUAACUGACGCUGAGGCGCGAAAAGCGUGGGGAGCAAACAGGAUUAGAUACCCCUGUAGUCCCUGAGCGGGCUGGCAAGGCGCAU
rnacentral:rRNA from 1 species